CCUACGGGUGGCAGCAGUGAGGAAUAUUGGUCAAUGGACGAGAGCCUGAACCAGCCAAGUAGCGUGAAGGAUGACUGCUCUAUGGGUCGUAAACUUCUUUUAUAUGGGAAUAAAAUGUUCGACGUGUGCGGUUUUGUAUGUACCAUAUGAAUAAGGAUCGGCUAACUCCGUGCCAGCAGCCGCGGUAAUACGGAGGAUCCGAGCGUUAUCCGGAUUUAUUGGGUUUAAAGGGAGCGUAGGUGGAUUGUUAAGUCAGUGGUGAAAGUUUGCGGCUCAACCGUAAAAUUGCAGUUGAAACUGGCAGUCUUGAGUACAGUAGAGGUAGGCGGAAUGCGUGGUGUAGCGGUGAAAUGCUUAGAUAUCACGAAGAACUCCGAUUGCGAAGGCAGCUCGCUGGGCUGCAACUGACGCUGAGGCUCGAAAGUGUGGGUAUCAAACAGGAUUAGAUACCCCAGUAGUC
rnacentral:rRNA from 1 species